AGUGAACGCUGGCGGUAGGCCUAACACAUGCAAGUCGAACGGCAGCACAGAGGAGCUUGCUCCUUGGGUGGCGAGCGGCGGACGGGUGAGGAAUACAUCGGAAUCUACUCUGUCGUGGGGGAUAACGUAGGGAAACUUACGCUAAUACCGCAUACGACCUACGGGUGAAAGCAGGGGACCUUCGGGCCUUGCGCGAUUGAAUGAGCCGAUGUCGGAUUAGCUAGUUGGCGGGGUAAAGGCCCACCAAGGCGACGAUCCGUAGCUGGUCUGAGAGGAUGAUCAGCCACACUGGAACUGAGACACGGUCCAGACUCCUACGGGAGGCAGCAGUGGGGAAUAUUGGACAAUGGGCGCAAGCCUGAUCCAGCCAUACCGCGUGGGUGAAGGAGGCCUUCGGGUUGUAAAGCCCUUUUGUUGGGAAAGAAAUCCAGCUGGCUAAUACCCGGUUGGGAUGACGGUACCCAAAGAAUAAGCACCGGCUAACUUCGUGCCAGCCGCCGCAGUAA
rnacentral:rRNA from 1 species